rnacentral:rRNA from 1 species
UACGAAGGGGGCGAGCGUUGUUCGGAUUUACUGGGCGUAAAGGGCGCGCAGGCGGCUUAUUUUGUCAGGCGUGAAAGCCCCGGGCUUAACCUGGGAACUGCGUUUGAUACGGAUGGGCUAGAGUUCGGGAGAGGAGAGUGGAAUUCCCCAGUGUAGAGGUGAAAUUCGUAGAUAUUGGGAAGAACACCGGUGGCGAAGGCGGCUCUCUGGACCGAUACUGACGCUGAGGCGCGAAAAGCGUGGGGAGCAAACAGG